UUCUAUCUUCUUGAGGUUGGGCCGACCUUUACUUAUUAACCUAACUUAUUAACUUGAACGUCACUAAUAGGCCAUUAAGCCACUUCUGAAUACCGCCUACGGCAAUAUUUUAGAAGGUGUGUAUUAGCGCCAAUUAUCAUUGAGAUACCUUAAAAUCUGCGCAUAUUGAUCAUACUUUCUAUUGUCUCUUGAUAUAGAUUCUAAUAGCUUUGGUUCUAUCACUUUCAGUAUAAUUAAGUUCCUGUCUUACCGUGGAUGCAACAGAUGCCUACCCGUCUAGUUGUGACUGGCCCCUCGUCCUAUUUAGAUAUUAUCCAGUGCCUGUUGUCGGUUAGGUUUCGAGCACUAAAUGUGGACUCCGCCUCCGAGAUUCUAUUGUGCUCUCGGAGAUCUGCAUUGGACCCAAUAAAAGUUAUUAGAGCAGUUAUAAUGGCAAACAAUGGCAAAUUCAGAAGAACUACAUGCCGUGUCUAUAAAAGUACCCGCAUUCAUGGAACAAGCAGCGUCGGGCUGGUUUACUGUGUUGGAGGCCCAGUUCAAAAUCAAGAAGAUAACUAGUAGCGAAACUAAAUUUUAUCACGUUGUCGCAGCACUACAAGCAGAUUUAAUACCAAAACUGUCGCCCAAACUACUGGCGGCAGAAGAUUAUGAGCAGUUAAAAGGAGCCGUGAUCAUCAUUCAUGAUAAGACCAAACCAGAAUUGUUUUCCAAACUAUUAAAGCGUACUACCAUCACUGGCAGACCAUCAUUUUACUUACGAGAGCACUUAAUUGCCUCGAAGAUCGGGGUUGGACAAGAUCUGAUUAAACACCAAUUUCUACAAGCAUUGCCUAGUUCAAUCUCGGUGGUACUUGCCUCCCAGACUACACUCUCUCUCGAUUAUAACCAAGGGGAAGUGACGCUACAAGUCAGUAACUCCCAGCCCCGGCAACCUCGUCAAAGAAACAACGGAUCUGUGUCUCCAACACGCCCUUUUAGCCCAGAUCAACUGCCAAAAGUAUGCAGAGCUCAUUUGUAUUUCGCAGAAAAAGCCCGAACGUGCAAACCAUGGUGCCGCUGGCCAGACAAGAAAAAUUGCACAAUUCAGACUAGCUCAAGAGCAAGCUCACCAAGCCAGGCCAAGAAUGUGGGAAACUAGAAGGGCGGGUCGCCCUGGCCAUAUCCGACCCGCCAUUAUUAGAAAUAUCCGCAUGGAUAGGCGAUUCAAAACUACAAAUAAGUAUGAUCAUCGACACGGGAGCUUCAGUCUCCAUUUUGCCACUCAAAUACUCGAGGGGAUUAAUAAUAAGUCCAACCGCAGUAAAAAUCACCUCAGCAGGUGGUCAAGCUAUAGAAUGCAGCGGCGAAUCAACUGUGGAUAUCAGGAUUCCUGCACUGCGGCGCACGUUUUCAUGGACCUUCGUCAUAGCAAACACAACGCACGCUUUGCUCGGAGUGGAUUUUCUCCACAAGUUCAACCUAAUUGUAGAUUGUGGCAGGAAGAGGCUACUUGAUUGUUUGACGAACCAGUACUCGCCUGCCAGAAGUGUUCAAGGGAACGUAAUCCAAGUAGUGAUAAAUAAUAAAGAAAACUUUCCGCCUGAGGCACGCAAAUUACUUGAAAAGUUUCCCUCUGUAUUAUCUCCUAAAUCUCCAACAUCACCCGCAGUUACAUCCAAAGUGUUUCAUUCCAUAGAGACAGCUGAAGCAAGGCCAACUUUUGCCAAAGUUCGUCAGCUAUCGGCGGAGAAAUUUGAAGCUGCCAAAACCGAAUUUUCUAAAUUGCUACAGGCAGGAAUAAUCAGACAGUCUGAGAGUCCGUGAUCUUCACCGUUACAUUUAGUGCCCAAGCCAACACCCGGUACGUGGCGAGCAUGUGGAGACUAUAGAGUAUUAAAUUCCAUCACCAAGCCGGACAGAUAUCCCAUCCCACACGUGAACAGCGUCGCCAGUAAAUUACACGGAAUGAAAGUGUUCUCAAAAAUAGAUCUGCUCGCCGCUUAUCAUCAAAUCCCGGUCAAGGAAGAAGACGUAGAAAAAAACUGCCGUUGCCACUCCAUUUGGACUAUUCGAGUAUCUGUACAUGUCUUUCGGACUACGAAACGCUGGAGCUACAUUCCAAAGAUUUAUGGAUAACCUUUUUAUGAAUACAAAUUGCACCUUCAUCUA